UACGUAGGGGGCAAGCGUUGUCCGGAAUUAUUGGGCGUAAAGAGCUCGUCGGCGGUGUGUCGCGUCGGCCGUGAAAACCUGCAGCUUAACUGUGGGCGUGCGGUCGAUACGGGCAUCACUGGAGUUCGGCAGGGGAGACUGGAAUUCCUGGUGUAGCGGUGAAAUGCGCAGAUAUCAGGAGGAACACCGGUGGCGAAGGCGGGUCUCUGGGCCGAUACUGACGCUGAGGAGCGAAAGCGUGGGGAGCGAACAGG
rnacentral:rRNA from 1 species